rnacentral:lncRNA from 1 species
CAGGGAUGGGUUUGGUGUCCCCAUGGGUGCCAGGGACAGGUUCGGUGUCCCUAUGGGUGCCGGGGCUGAGCCCCGUGGGUUAUCGGGGAUUGGGGAUUGGGUUCGGUCCCCGGCGGCACCGCGCGGCGUCCCGGCAUCGCCAAGGCUGCGGCGCCCACUGGUCGGGGUGAUUGUGGUUGGUGGGUGACAAGGGGAGGUUAUUUGGGGGAAAAUAAGGGUUUAUUUUGGUGGGAAAUAAUGAUUUAUUGGGGGAAAGUCACCGUUUUUGGUAAGAGAUCGUGGUUUGUUGGUGACAAAUGGUGGUUUAUUGGUGAAAAGUUAUGGUUUGUUGGUGACAAGUCAUGGUUAGUUGGUGCCAAAUGGCAGAUUGUUGGUGAAAAAUAAUGGUUUAUUGGUGCCAAAUCAUGGCUUGUUGGUAAAAAAUAAGAAUUUAUUGGUGAAAAAUCACCCUUUUUGGUGACAGAUUGUAGUUUGUUGGUGUCAAGUGGUGGUUUAUUGGUGAAAAGUCAUGGUUAGUUGGUGCCAAAUGGCAGCUUGUUGGUAAAAAUAAUGGUUUAAUGGUGAAAAAUACGUUUAUUGGUGAAAAAUGGUGAUUUGUUGGUGACAAAUCAUGGCUUGAUGGUGAGAAAUCGCAGUUUAUGGGUGACAAAUCGUGGCUUUUUGGUGAAAAGUAACGGUUUAUUGGUGACAAAGUUGCAUUUUAUCGGUGAUAACGCACGGUUUGUUGGUGACAAGUCGUGGAUUGGGGACAAAUCUCGUUUUUUUGGUGAAAAAUCUCAGGCUGGUGGUGACGAACGGCAGCUAAUUAGUGACAAAGCGCAGCUUCCCGCGGGGCAGCAGAAGCUCCCUGGAGCCUCCCCGUCCCCCUCCCUCGCUCCCCCCGCCCUGGGGGACACCCCCCAGCUGCCCCCCCCCCCCCCCCCCCCC